rnacentral:rRNA from 1 species
UACGGAGGGUGCAAGCGUUAUCCGGAUUCACUGGGUUAAAGGGUGCGUAGGCGGACAGGUAAGUCAGUGGUGAAAUCUCUGGGCUUAACUCAGAAACUGCCGUUGAUACUAUUUGUCUUGAAUGUCAUGGAGGUAAGCGGAAUAUGUCAUGUAGCGAAUGAAAUGCUUAGAUAUGACAUAGAACACCAUAGCGAAGGCACUUACUACAUGAAGAUUGACGCU